rnacentral:rRNA from 1 species
UACGUAGGGUGCGAGCGUUAAUCGGAAUUACUGGGCGUAAAGCGUGCGCAGGCGGUUUUGUAAGCCAGAUGUGAAAGCCCCGGGCUUAACCUGGGAACUGGCAUUUGGACUGCAAGGCUGGAGUGUGGCAGAGGAGACUGGAAUUCCUGGUGUAGCAGUGAAAUGCGUAGAUAUCAGGAGGAACACCGAUGGCGAAGGCAGGUCUCUGGGCUGACACUGACGCUCAUGCACGAAAGCGUGGGGAGCAAACAGG